rnacentral:rRNA from 1 species
UACGGAGGAUGCAAGCGUUAUCCGGAAUGAUUGGGCGUAAAGCGUCCGCAGGUGGCAGUUCAAGUCUGCUGUCAAAGACCGGGGCUUAACUUCGGAAAGGCAGUGGAAACUGAACAGCUAGAGUAUGGUAGGGGCAGAGGGAAUUCCUGGUGUAGCGGUGAAAUGCGUAGAGAUCAGGAAGAACAUCGGUGGCGAAGGCGCUCUGCUGGACCAUAACUGACACUCAGGGACGAAAGCUAGGGGAGCAAACAGG